rnacentral:rRNA from 1 species
CACGUAGGGCGCAAGCGUUGUCCGGGAUUAUUGGGCGUAAAGAGCUCGUAGGCGGCUCGUCGCGUCGACCGUGAAAACCCGCGGCUUAACUGCGGGCUUGCGGUUGAUACGGGCGGGCUAGAGUUCGGUAGGGGAGACUGGAAUUCCUGGUGUAGCGGUGAAAUGCGCAGAUAUCAGGAGGAACACCGGUGGCGAAGGCGGGUCUCUGGGCCGAUACUGACGCUGAGGAGCGAAAGCGUGGGGAGCGAACAGG